rnacentral:rRNA from 1 species
GACGAACGCUGGCGGCGUGCUCAACACAUGCAAGUCGAACGGAAAGGCCCUGCUUUUGUGGGGUGCUCGAGUGGCGAACGGGUGAGUAACACGUGAGUAACCUGCCCUUGACUUUGGGAUAACUUCAGGAAACUGGGGCUAAUACCGGAUAGGAGCUCCUGCUGCAUGGUGGGGGUUGGAAAGUUUCGGCGGUUGGGGAUGGACUCGCGGCUUAUCAGCUUGUUGGUGGGGUAGUGGCUUACCAAGGCUUUGACGGGUAGCCGGCCUGAGAGGGUGACCGGCCACAUUGGGACUGAGAUACGGCCCAGACUCCUACGGGAGGCAGCAGUGGGGAAUAUUGCACAAUGGGCGGAAGCCUGAUGCAGCAACGCCGCGUGCGGGAUGACGGCCUUCGGGUUGUAAACCGCUUUCGCCUGUGACGAAGCGUGAGUGACGGUAAUGGGUAAAGAAGCACCGGCUAACUACGUGCCAGCAGCCGCGGUGAUACGUAGGGUGCGAGCGUUGUCCGGAUUUAUUGGGCGUAAAGGGCUCGUAGGUGGUUGAUCGCGUCGGAAGUGUAAUCUUGGGGCUUAACCCUGAGCGUGCUUUCGAUACGGGUUGACUUGAGGAAGGUAGGGGAGAAUGGAAUUCCUGGUGGAGCGGUGGAAUGCGCAGAUAUCAGGAGGAACACCAGUGGCGAAGGCGGUUCUCUGGGCCUUUCCUGACGCUGAGGAGCGAAAGCGUGGGGAGCGAACAGGCUUAGAUACCCUGGUAGUCCACGCUGUAAACGGUGGGUACUAGGUGUGGGGUCCAUUCCACGGGUUCCGUGCCGUAGCUAACGCUUUAAGUACCCCGCCUGGGGAGUACGGCCGCAAGGCUAAAACUCAAAGGAAUUGACGGGGCCCCGCACAAGCGGCGGAGCAUGCGGAUUAAUUCGAUGCAACGCGUAGAACCUUACCUGGGUUUGACAUGGAUCGGGAGUGCUCAGAGAUGGGUGUGCCUCUUUUGGGGUCGGUUCACAGGUGGUGCAUGGCUGUCGUCAGCUCGUGUCGUGAGAUGUUGGGUUAAGUCCCGCAACGAGCGCAACCCUUGUUCACUGUUGCCAGCACGUUAUGGUGGGGACUCAGUGGAGACCGCCGGGGUCAACUCGGAGGAAGGUGGGGAUGACGUCAAGUCAUCAUGCCCCUUAUGUCCAGGGCUUCACGCAUGCUACAAUGGCUGGUACAGGGAGUGGCGAGCCUGUGAGGGUGAGCGAAUCUCGGAAAGCCGGUCUCAGUUCGGAUUGGGGUCUGCAACUCGACCUCAUGAAGUCGGAGUCGCUAGUAAUCGCAGAUCAGCAACGCUGCGGUGAAUACGUUCCCGGGGCU